rnacentral:rRNA from 1 species
AUUGAACGCUGGCGGCGUGCCUAACACAUGCAAGUCGAGCGGUAACAGGUGUAGCAAUACAUGCUGACGAGCGGCGGACGGGUGAGUAACGCUUGGGAAUCUGCCUAUUAGUGGGGGACAACCCGGGGAAACUCGGGCUAAUACCGCAUACGCUCUACGGAGGAAAGCCGGGGACCGCAAGGCCUGGCGCUAAUAGAUGAGCCCAAGUCGGAUUAGCUAGUUGGUAGGGUAAGGCCUACCAAGGCGACGAUCCGUAACUGGUCUGAGAGGACGACCAGUCACACCGGAACUGAGACACGGUCCGGACUCCUACGGGAGGCAGCAGUGGGGAAUAUUGCGCAAUGGGCGAAAGCCUGACGCAGCGACGCCGCGUGAGGGAUGACGGCCU